AACCUGCCUUUCAGAGGGGGAUAACAUUUGGAAACAGAUGCUAAUCCCGCAUAAGAUUACAGUACCGCAUGAUACAGUGAUCAAAGGAGCAAUCCGCUGAAAGAUGGGCUCGCGUCCGAUUAGAUAGUUGGUGAGGUAACGGCUCACCAAGUCGACGAUCGGUAGCCGGACUGAGAGGUUGAACGGCCACAUUGGGACUGAGACACGGCCCAGACUCCUACGGGAGGCAGCAGUGGGGAAUAUUGCACAAUGGACGAAAGCCUGAUGCAGCAACGCCGCGUGAGGGAAGACGGUUUUCGGAUUGUAAACCUCUGUUUUCGGUGACGAAUAAAUGACGGUAACCGAGUAGGAAGCCACGGCUAACUACGUGCCAGCAGCCGCGGUAAUACGUAGGUGGCAAGCGUUAUCCGGAAUUACUGGGUGUAAAGGGAGCGCAGGCGGGAUAGCAAGUCAGCUGUGAAAACUAUGGGCUCAACCCAUAAACUGCAGUUGAAACUGUUAUUCUUGAGUGGAGUAGAGGCAAGCGGAAUUCCGAGUGUAGCGGUGAAAUGCGUAGAUAUUCGGAGGAACACCAGUGGCGAAGGCGGCUUGCUGGGCUCUAACUGACGCUGAGGCUCGAAAGUGUGGGGAGCAAACAGGAUUAGAUACCCUGGUAGUCCACACUGUAAACGAUGAUUGCUAGGUGUGGGGGGUCUGACCCCCUCCGUGCCGGAGUUAACACAAUAAGUAAUCCACCUGGGGAGUACGACCGCAAGGUUGAAACUCAAAGGAAUUGACGGGGGCCCGCACAAGCAGUGGAGUAUGUGGUUUAAUUCGAAGCAACGCGAAGAACCUUACCAGGUCUUGACAUCGUAUGCAUAGUCUAGAGAUAGAUGAAAUCCCUUCGGGGACAUAUAGACAGGUGGUGCAUGGUUGUCGUCAGCUCGUGUCGUGAGAUGUUGGGUUAAGUCCCGCAACGAGCGCAACCCUUACCAUUAGUUGCUACGCAAGAGCACUCUAAUGGGACUGCCGUUGACAAAACGGAGGAAGGUGGGGAUGACGUCAAAUCAUCAUGCCCCUUAUGACCUGGGCUACACACGUACUACAAUGGCAAUAAAACAGAGGGAAGCAAAACAGCGAUGUGGAGCAAAUCCCGAAAAAUUGUCUCAGUUCGGACUGUAGUCUGCAACCCGACUACACGAAGCUGGAAUCGCUAGUAAUCGCGGAUCAGAAUGCCGCGGUGAAUACGUUCCCGGGUCUUGCACACACCGCCCGUCAA
rnacentral:rRNA from 1 species